UAAUAGGAAAUGGCAGUCACUUCGAAUAAGGAAGUAUUCAAGUGACCAGGGGAGCAGCAAUCAGGGAGAAGCAAAUGGGAUAGUUUGCAAACAGUUUACUAGGAGCAAGAGGAAGAAGGGGAAGAGGAACCAGGCACCAAGCACCAGAUUCUGCUCUGGGAAGGGAGGCGUUUCCUUUUGUAUACCACAAAUGGCCAAGUGAAGGCAUGUGAAGUGGUACCAGAGAAGAAUUUAACAGUAACUCCCAGAAGAGCAUUGAAGAUCAAGUAGCUAUGUAUAUUUAUACUUGGCUCGUUCCUCAGAUUCUUACUAAACUCCAGAGGUAAAGUACACAGACAUAUUUUACAGCAAGGACUGCAAAAUGGCAAUCUAUACUGCACCUGAAACGGGCCACAAAUUGAAAAAAAGAACACACCAAACCCUCAGUGGAUUUGUAUGGAUGAUUCAGACUGAUCCUUCAAACUAUUCCAUGUGAGCAGACCUAUGCUGACGACAGUGGGACACCACAGCAUGCU